UGGCUCAGGAUGAACGCUAGCGGCAGGCCUAAUACAUGCAAGUCGAACGAGAUUAUCCAGCUUGCUGGAUAUGACAGUGGCGCACGGGUGCGUAACGCGUAUGCAACCUACCUUAAUCAGGGGGAUAGCCCGGAGAAAUUCGGAUUAACACCGCAUAAAAUCACAGUACGGCAUCGUACAAUGAUCAAAUAUUUAUAGGAUUAAGAUGGGCAUGCGUGUCAUUAGUUAGUUGGUGAGGUAACGGCUCACCAAGACCACGAUGACUAGGGGAUCUGAGAGGAUGACCCCCCACACUGGUACUGAGACACGGACCAGACUCCUACGGGAGGCAGCAGUAAGGAAUAUUGGUCAAUGGAGGCAGCUCUGAACCAGCCAUGCCGCGUGUAGGAAGACGGCCCUCUGGGUUGUAAACUACUUUUAUCUAGGAAUAAACCUACUUACGUGUAAGUAGCUGAAUGUACUAGAAGAAUAAGGAUCGGCUAACUCCGUG
rnacentral:rRNA from 1 species